GAGAGAGAGAGAGAGAUAUAGAGAGUAAUAUUUUCUAGGCGGGAACAGAGAGUGUGAGAGACAGAGAGAGAGACAGUGAGAGAGAUACAGAGAGAGAGAGAGAGACAGUGAGAGAGAGAGAGAGAUAUAGAGAGUAAUAUUUUCUAGGCGGGAACAGACUGAGUGUGAGAGACAGAGAGAGAGACAGUGAGAGAGAUACAGAGAGAGAGAGACAGUGAGAGAGAGAGAGAGAUAUAGAGAGUAAUAUUUUCUAGGCAGGAACAGAGUGAGUGUGAGAGACAGAGAGAGAGACAGAGAGAGAGAGAGAGACAGAUAUAGAGAGAGAGACAGAUAUAGAGAGAGUAAUAUUUUCUAGGCGGGAACAGAGUGAGUCUGUGAUUAUGAUUUGAGGAAGUCGGAUCCUCGUCUCCGUGUGAUGGGUGAAAAUAUGAUCACAUGAUGAGAGAACGUGUGCAGCCUAGUCUCAAUUUAACCUUAUCCUCCGUACGUACUGGAGGCUGCUCUUCCCUCUUUAAUCAUGCCGGUUAGGCUACUCUGGUUUAACAGCAGGGUAGCAGCUUGCAGGCAGCUGGCAGGGUAGCAGAUGGCAGAGUAGCAGCUGGCAGGGUAGCAGAUGGCAGAGUAGCAGCUGGCAGGGUAGAAGCUGGCAGAGUAGCAGCUGGCAGGGUAGCAGAUGGCAGAGUAGCAGCUGGCAGGGUAGCAGCUGACAGGGUAGAAGCUGGCAGAGUAGCAGCAGGCAGGGUAGCAGCUGGCAGAGUAGCAGCUGGCAGAGUAGCAGCUGGCAGCGUAGCAGCUGGCAGAGUAGCAGCUGGCAGCGUAGCAGCUGGCAGAGUAGCAGCUGGCAGCGUAGCAGCUGGCAGAGUAUCAGCUGGCAGGGUAGCAGCUGGCAGCGUAGCAGCUGGGAUCCUCUUUUCAGUGACACCCAUCAACACUGCUUGGUUCCAUAUAGAAAUGUCUGGGAACACAUUUCACUCCACAAAUCAACCACUGUUUGAGGAGCACCCAGCCUCUCGCUGCGCGACAGGUGAUAUUCCACCCAGUACUCUGUAUGGGCUCUCCUACCCUGUUCCUGUAGCUACCCAGUGCUCUGUAUGCCAUGGGCACUCCAACCCUGUUCCUACCCAGUACUCUGUAUGCCAUGGGCUCUCCCAACCUUGUUCCUGCAGCUACCCAGUUCUCUGUAUGCCAUGGGCUCUCCUACCCUGUUCCUGCAGCUAACCAGUACUCUGUAUGCCAUGGGCCCUCCUACCUUGUUCCUUCAGCUACCCAGUACUCUGUAUGCCAUGGGCACUCCUACCCUGUUCCUGUAGCUACCCAGUACUCUGUAUGGGCUCUCCUACCCUGUUCCUGCAGCUACCCAGUACUCUGUAUGGGCUCUCCUACCCUGUUACUGUAUCUACCCAGUACUCUGUAUGGGCUCUCCCAACCUUGUUCCUGCAGCUACCCAGUACUCUGUAUGCCAUGGGCUCUCCUACCCUGUUCCUGCAGCUAACCAGUACUCUGUAUGCCAUGGGCCCUCCUACCCUGUUCCUUCAGCUACCCAGUACUCUGUAUGCCAUGGGCUCUCCUACCCUGUUCCUGUAUCUACCCAGUACUCUGUAUGUCAUGGGCUCUCCUACCUUGUUCCUGCAGCUACCCAGUACUCUGUAUGGGCACUCCUACCCUGUUCCUGCACCUACCCAGUACUCUGUAUGCCAUGUGCUCUACUACCCUGUUCCUGCAGCUACCCAGUACUCUGUAUGCCAUGGGCUCUCCUACCCUGCAGCUACCCAGUACUCUGUAUGGGCUCUCCUACCUUGUUCCUGCAGCUACCCAGUACUCUGUAUGCCAUGGGCCCUCCUACCUUGUUCCUUCAGCUACCCAGUACUCUGUAUGCCAUGGGCUCUUCCAACCUUGUUCCUGCAGCUACCCAGUACUCUGUAUGCCAUGGGCCCUCCUACCCUGUUCAUCUACCCAGUACUCUGUAUGUCAUGGGCUCUCCUACCUUGUUCCUGCAGCUACCCAGUACUCUGUAUGCCAUGUGCUCUCCUACCCUGUUCCUGCAGCUACCCAGUACUCUGUAUGGGCACUCCUACCCUGUUCCUGCAGCUACCCAGUACUCUGUAUGCCAUGGGCUCUCCUACCCUGCAGCUACCCAGUACUCUGUAUGGGCUCUCCUACCUUGUUCCUGCAGCUACCCAGUACUCUGUAUGCCAUGGGCCCUCCUACCUUGUUCCUGCAGCUACCCAGUACUCUGUAUGCCAUGGGCCCUCCUACCUUGUUCCUGCAGCUACCCAGUACUCUGUAUGCCAUGGGCUCUUCCAACCUUGUUCCUGCAGCUACCCAGUACUCUGUAUGCCAUGGGCCCUCCUACCCUGUUCAUCUACCCAGUACUCUGUAUGCCAUGGGCUCUCCUACCCUGAUCCUACAUCUACCCAGUACUCUGUAUGGGCCCUCCUACCUUGUUCCUGCAGCUACCCAGUACUCUGUAUGGGCCCUCCAACCUUGUUCCUGCAGCUACCCAGUACUCUGUAUGGGCCCUCCAACCUUGUUCCUGCAGCUACCCAGUACUCUGUAUGGGCCCUCCAACCUUGUUCC
rnacentral:lncRNA from 1 species